GACGAACGCUGGCGGCGUGCUUAACACAUGCAAGUCGAACGGAAAGGCCCUGCUUUUGUGGGUUUCUCGAGUGGCGAACGGGUGAGUAACACGUGAGUAACCUGCCCUUGACUUUGGGAUAACUUCAGGAAACUGGGGCUAAUACCGGAUAGGAGCUCCUGCUGCAUGGUGGGGGUUGGAAAGUUUCGGCGGUUGGGGCUGGACUCGCGGCUUAUCAGCUUGUUGGUGGGGUAGUUGCUUACCAAGGCUUUGACGGGUAGCCGGCCUGAGAGCGUGAACGGGCACAUUGGGACUGAGAUACGGCCCAGACUCCUACGGGAGGCAGCAGUGGGGAAUAUUGCACAAUGGGCGGAAGCCUGAUGCAGCAACGCCGCGUGCGGGAUGACGGCCUUCGGGUUGUAAACCGCUUUCGCCUGUGACGAAGCGUGAGUGACGGUAAUGGGUAAAGAAGCACCGGCUAACUACGUG
rnacentral:rRNA from 1 species